AAUGAACGUUGGCGGCGUGCUUAACACAUGCAAGUCGAGCGAGAAAGCUCCUUCGGGAGCAAGUACAGCGGCGGACGGGUGAGGAACGCGUAAGAAUCUUCCCUUCAGUGAAGAAUACCCUUGAGAAAUCGAGGAUAAUACUGCAUAUUCCCUACGGGGCAAAGGUGGCUUUAUGCUGCCGCUGAAGGAUGAGCUUGCGUGCUAUUAGCUAGUUGGUGAGGUAAAGGCUCACCAAGGCGAUGAUGGCCAGCCGGCCUGAGAGGGUGUACGGCCACAUUGGGACUGAGAUACGGCCCAGACUCCUACGGGAGGCAGCAGUGAGGAAUAUUGCGCAAUGGGCGAAAGCCUGACGCAGCGACGCCGCGUGGAGGAUGACGGUCUUCGGAUUGUAAACUCCUGUUAAGCGGGAAGAAAGACCAGUCUCUAAUACAGAUUGGAUAUGACGGUACCGCUAGAGAAAGCACCGGCUAACUUCGUGCC
rnacentral:rRNA from 1 species